AGCGAACGCUGGCGGCAGGCUUAACACAUGCAAGUCGAGCGCCCGUAGCAAUACGGGAGCGGCAGACGGGAGAGUAACACGUGGGAACGUGCCUUUUGGUUCGGAACAACCCAGGGAAACUUGGGCUAAUACCGGAUAAGCCCUUACGGGGAAAGAUUUAUCGCCAAAAGAUCGGCCCGCGUCUGAUUAGCUAGUUGGUGAGGUAACGGCUCACCAAGGCUACGAUCAGUAGCUGGUCUGAGAGGAUGAUCAGCCUCACUGGGACUGAGACACGGCCCAGACUCCUACGGGAGGCAGCAGUGGGGAAUAUUGGACAAUGGGCGCAAGCCUGAUCCAGCCAUGCCGCGUGGGUGAUGAAGGCCUUAGGGUUGUAAAG
rnacentral:rRNA from 1 species